rnacentral:rRNA from 1 species
GACAUCCAGAGAACUUGGCAGAGAUGCCUUGGUGCCUUCGGGACCUCUGAGACAGGUGCUGCAUGGCUGUCGUCAGCUCGUGUUGUGAAAUGUUGGGUUAAGUCCCGNAACGAGCGCAACCCCUAUCCUUUGUUGCCAGCGAUUCGGUCGGGAACUCAAAGGAGACUGCCGGUGAUAAACCGGAGGAAGGUGGGGAUGACGUCAAGUCAUCAUGGCCCUUACGAGUAGGGCUACACACGUGCUACAAUGGCGCAUACAAAGAGAAGCGACCUCGCGAGAGCAAGCGGACCUCAUAAAGUGCGUCGUAGUCCGGAUCGGAGUCUGCAACUCGACUCCGUGAAGUCGGAAUCGCUAGUAAUCGUAGAUCAGAAUGCUACGGUGAAUACGUUCCCGGGCCUUGUACACACCGCCCGUCACACCAUGGGAGUGGGUUGCAAAAGAAGUAGAUAGCUUAACCUUCGGGAGGGCGUUUACCACUUUGUGAUUCAUGACUGGGGUGAAGUCGUAACAAGGUAGGCGUAGCGAG